AGCGGCAUUUUGUGCCGGCGGGAUGCGGUUUCGACGCGUCAAUUUUCCCUGCUUUCGAGGCGCGAAUCGGCAUUUCCGGAGGAAAAAUGCACACGUUCCGGAUCGGGAGGCCAGAAAAGCCAGAAUCGCGCCUACCAACAGAGACACGAGAGCGCGCGGAGCGCCUGCUCUGAGCACUUCACCUCAAAAACGAGGAGAGGGAGAGGGUUCGACCGCAAAAAACGGCGUGUGGCGUAUAGAGUCUAUAUCGAUACCGGUCGCUUUCGUCUUCGCGUUCGCCGCAGGCGAGUUUCUCUACGGUGACGCCGCACACUGACACACGUUGUGCUGGAAAUCACACCGCUACGCCUUUUUUCGCCCUAGCCCCCUCGUUGAGGCGUGCGUUUGGAUCCCCUGUGUGCUUCGUGACGUAGCAAAUACACCCCGACGGCACCCGCGGGCAAACCCCUCUUCCUUGACCGAGGCCGAAUGACUCUCUACACUGAAGAAGCCGGCGUCUCACCUGUCGGGAGCAGCAAUUCCCCGGAACGCAUCCGGGGUUCUUGCUCCGACGUUGUCUCGAGGGAUGUGGAGAUUCGGCGUGUGUCGGCGGCAACGUCGACCAGGCACAUGGAUGUCCAUGCCGAGGAACAAGCAGCCGGAGUCACUGAGGAGCGAGUGAAAUCCACCGGGCUCUUGCUGUCGCGAACACGACUUGGGGCCAACUCGGGGCUCUUUUCCCAGUACGGCGUUCACCGUGGACUGUAGGGUCUCUGGCUGUCUAGCUGCUCUCACGAGCCUGCCUACGGCCUAUCUCCAACUCCUUUCGUUCCAUUCCCCAAACACUGUACCGCAGCAUCUGUGGGUUUCCACAUGUUUGGACCCAGGAUUUGUCCACGCGUGGGAUCUCAGGGGCCGGAGACAGGAAACACUCGAAGAAUCAGCGACCGAGUGAACUGGAAAGUGUCUACAGGGAUUGAGAAACGAGUUAGACUCUUGUAGACUUGUCAGCUCUCAAGGAAACGCAUGACGGAAGUUCCUGGGUCAAACGAAUCAGUGAGAGCCUCGGAGAGGCAACAGCGGGGUGGUCGCGACACCGUGGCGACACGAGAAAGUCUUACCCGUGGGAUGACCGCCGGUGACCGACUCCGCGUGUUUGUCCACGGGGCUUCGGAAGGCCUCUCGACACCCGGGAGUGGCGUUCCUCCCCGCAGUUCCGGAGAAUGCUGGCAAGGGGUAGUGAGUUGAGGCCUGGGGCGCAACGCCUCGCAUGACUUGGCGUGAUCACCUCCGAAAAACGGACGAGCUGAGACAGUCAACGGUCGGCUGCUCCGCCCGGCGGCUACUCCGCACAGUCUCAGAGACAUCUGGGCGGCUCACAACCAGUGGGAGGCACACGAGGGUUUUGUGCCCCGAACAAAAAGUACGUGUGUUCAGGUGUGUCGCCAAACUUUUUCGUGCCCGUUCAGCGCAUGUGUGACCGGAAGAGAAACAGCUGCACAGUGCCAGGAGCGACAGGACGCGUCGCAAGGGGAAGGCUUGUGUCCCUUUUGCCACCGUGGCCGUGGUGAGUUUUCUGUGUGGCGAUGGCAACUUAUCAACCUGAGAAACAAGAAAAACGUGGAACCAGACACCCGGGCAAGAAAUCCCGGGAAGGCGCUGGUCUUCGGGGCGCGCGCGCCCCGACUGUGUCGGGUUCGUUGAGUUCCAAGGGUUUCGCCGGCACGUCUUCCGCUUGUCUCACCAAAACAGCCGAAAAGAAACGGUGCGGUGACUCACACCGCCGAGCUCAACGCGUUUACACCUGUUCUGUCAGCCGUCUCUCGCUGCGAGAAGACGAAAGACUGCAGGUACGAAUCGGCGCGAGAACCUCUCACAAAAGCCCGCGCGAGACGGACCGUUGCAGAGAUCCAAGGAAAACGGUGCUGUCAGCCGACUUACAUUCGCUGGGGGGCGGUUUCCGAUGCACAAAAAACCUGUGUUUUUCCAGCAACAAAAGCAACGUAGCCUCAAAAUGUGGAGGAAAUGUGAAAGGGAUCUCGGGCGAAUGCCGUCUCCCCGCCUGGAGCGUUCAUUUUUUUGACUGAGUUUCAAGCGGGGACGAAGCCGGAGACGCUUCAGUUCAUCCCCGUUUGAAUUUCGUCGGCCAAACACAGGCAUCAAAACGCGCGAAUAAAGAGACCGUUCCAACGGGACGUCUCCCCGAGAGACGCGAAAAUAGGCCGGUUGCGUUUUCCGUGUCUGAAAAAAACGGACUGGACAAACGUGUCGCCCGCCCUCGUGUUCGCAAAAGGGGGACAAGGAAGCACGAAAGCAAAUCCGGUGUACCCAGGAAAACCUGGCCUUCCCGAAGUCCGACGUGGAUGGAACGACCGGGCACUCCCGCAAAUCACACUUCCGCGAAACUGUCUCGCGAGGCAAGUCGCGUAAACUCGCGUGGAGAGAGAGAGUGUGUGUUGUAUUUAUUUCACCAGCAAACUGCAGGUUUGGCGAGGAGAUGCCUCGCGCUGUCUCGGGCAAAGCGACGUUCGGUACAGUCGACGAAUCUCCGCUAAACAGCAAGGGCGUGGGUCACGCAAUUUUUGUGCCGACCAGAGAAACAAACUCACAGGGAACAUAAUCCAAGCAAAUAAAGAAAUACAUAUGAAUAAAUGCACACUUCUGGGGUGGGAACGCGGAGUCCGUUUUAACGCCGUUCAUCGAGAGGAAACUUUAUUUCCGUCUGUACAUACACCCUGGACACACCACGAGUCGAUUCCCAGCAUGGCGCUUAUAUGUUUGAGGAUGAAGUUUUAGUUAGGACCACGGACGUGUUUCAAGUCUG
rnacentral:lncRNA from 1 species